rnacentral:rRNA from 1 species
UUAAGCGACUAAGCGUACACGGUGGAUGCCCUGGCAGUCAGAGGCGAUGAAGGACGUGCUAAUCUGCGAUAAGCGUCGGUGAGGUGAUAUGAACCGUUAUAACCGGCGAUUUCCGAAUGGGGAAACCCAGUGUGUUUCGACACACUAUCAUUAACUGAAUCCAUAGGUUAAUGAGGCGAACCGGGGGAACUGAAACAUCUAAGUACCCGAGGAAAAGAAAUCAACCGAGAUUCCCCCAGUAGCGGCGAGCGAACGGGGAGGAGCCCAGAGCCUGAAUCAGUGUGUGUGUUAGUGGAAGCGUCUGGAAAGGCGCGCGAUACAGGGUGACAGCCCCGUACACAAAAAUGCACAUAUUGUGAGCUCGAUGAGUAGGGCGGGACACGUGGUAUCCUGUCUGAAUAUGGGGGGACCAUCCUCCAAGGCUAAAUACUCCUGACUGACCGAUAGUGAACCAGUACCGUGAGGGAAAGGCGAAAAGAACCCCGGCGAGGGGAGUGAAAAAGAACCUGAAACCGUGUACGUACAAGCAGUGGGAGCCUCUUAAUGGGGUGACUGCGUACCUUUUGUAUAAUGGGUCAGCGACUUAUAUUCUGUAGCAAGGUUAACCGAAUAGGGGAGCCGAAGGGAAACCGAGUCUUAACUGGGCGUUAAGUUGCAGGGUAUAGACCCGAAACCCGGUGAUCUAGCCAUGGGCAGGUUGAAGGUUGGGUAACACUAACUGGAGGACCGAACCGACUAAUGUUGAAAAAUUAGCGGAUGACUUGUGGCUGGGGGUGAAAGGCCAAUCAAACCGGGAGAUAGCUGGUUCUCCCCGAAAGCUAUUUAGGUAGCGCCUCGUGAAUUCAUCUCCGGGGGUAGAGCACUGUUUCGGCAAGGGGGUCAUCCCGACUUACCAACCCGAUGCAAACUGCGAAUACCGGAGAAUGUUAUCACGGGAGACACACGGCGGGUGCUAACGUCCGUCGUGAAGAGGGAAACAACCCAGACCGCCAGCUAAGGUCCCAAAGUCAUGGUUAAGUGGGAAACGAUGUGGGAAGGCCCAGACAGCCAGGAUGUUGGCUUAGAAGCAGCCAUCAUUUAAAGAAAGCGUAAUAGCUCACUGGUCGAGUCGGCCUGCGCGGAAGAUGUAACGGGGCUAAACCAUGCACCGAAGCUGCGGCAGCGACACUAUGUGUUGUUGGGUAGGGGAGCGUUCUGUAAGCCUGUGAAGGUGGCCUGUGAGGGUUGCUGGAGGUAUCAGAAGUGCGAAUGCUGACAUAAGUAACGAUAAAGCGGGUGAAAAGCCCGCUCGCCGGAAGACCAAGGGUUCCUGUCCAACGUUAAUCGGGGCAGGGUGAGUCGACCCCUAAGGCGAGGCCGAAAGGCGUAGUCGAUGGGAAACAGGUUAAUAUUCCUGUACUUGGUGUUACUGCGAAGGGGGGACGGAGAAGGCUAUGUUGGCCGGGCGACGGUUGUCCCGGUUUAAGCGUGUAGGCUGGUUUUCCAGGCAAAUCCGGAAAACCAAGGCUGAGGCGUGAUGACGAGGCACUACGGUGCUGAAGCGACAAAUGCCCUGCUUCCAGGAAAAGCCUCUAAGCAUCAGGUAACAUCAAAUCGUACCCCAAACCGACACAGGUGGUCAGGUAGAGAAUACCAAGGCGCUUGAGAGAACUCGGGUGAAGGAACUAGGCAAAAUGGUGCCGUAACUUCGGGAGAAGGCACGCUGAUAUGUAGGUGAAGCGACUUGCUCGUGGAGCUGAAAUCAGUCGAAGAUACCAGCUGGCUGCAACUGUUUAUUAAAAACACAGCACUGUGCAAACACGAAAGUGGACGUAUACGGUGUGACGCCUGCCCGGUGCCGGAAGGUUAAUUGAUGGGGUUAGCGGUAACGCGAAGCUCUUGAUCGAAGCCCCGGUAAACGGCGGCCGUAACUAUAACGGUCCUAAGGUAGCGAAAUUCCUUGUCGGGUAAGUUCCGACCUGCACGAAUGGCGUAAUGAUGGCCAGGCUGUCUCCACCCGAGACUCAGUGAAAUUGAACUCGCUGUGAAGAUGCAGUGUACCCGCGGCAAGACGGAAAGACCCCGUGAACCUUUACUAUAGCUUGACACUGAACAUUGAGCCUUGAUGUGUAGGAUAGGUGGGAGGCUUUGAAGUGUGGACGCCAGUCUGCAUGGAGCCGACCUUGAAAUACCACCCUUUAAUGUUUGAUGUUCUAACGUGGGCCCCUAAUCGGGGUUGCGGACAGUGUCUGGUGGGUAGUUUGACUGGGGCGGUCUCCUCCUAAAGAGUAACGGAGGAGCACGAAGGUUGGCUAAUCCUGGUCGGACAUCAGGAGGUUAGUGCAAUGGCAUAAGCCAGCUUGACUGCGAGCGUGACGGCGCGAGCAGGUGCGAAAGCAGGUCAUAGUGAUCCGGUGGUUCUGAAUGGAAGGGCCAUCGCUCAACGGAUAAAAGGUACUCCGGGGAUAACAGGCUGAUACCGCCCAAGAGUUCAUAUCGACGGCGGUGUUUGGCACCUCGAUGUCGGCUCAUCACAUCCUGGGGCUGAAGUAGGUCCCAAGGGUAUGGCUGUUCGCCAUUUAAAGUGGUACGCGAGCUGGGUUUAGAACGUCGUGAGACAGUUCGGUCCCUAUCUGCCGUGGGCGCUGGAGAACUGAGGGGGGCUGCUCCUAGUACGAGAGGACCGGAGUGGACGCAUCACUGGUGUUCGGGUUGUCAUGCCAAUGGCACUGCCCGGUAGCUAAAUGCGGAAGAGAUAAGUGCUGAAAGCAUCUAAGCACGAAACUUGCCCCGAGAUGAGUUCUCCCUGAGACUUAGAGUCUCCUGAAGGAACGUUGAAGACGACGACGUUGAUAGGCCGGGUGUGUAAGCGCAGCGAUGCGUUGAGCUAACCGGUACUAAUGAACCGUGAGGCUUAACCUU